GGGUGUGACCUUUGAUGUGUGUGGGAAAAUCUACAAAUUGAUCAAAACCAAGACUGUUAAUUGAAGAAGUGAAGUCAAUGGUGAGAGGAAGAGCAGUGUUGUCCAUAUGUAUAUUAAAAUCUCCCAGGAUUAUUACAUUUGGUGACAAAGAGGAGAGAUGGGUGAGGACAGUAGACACUUCAUUUAAAAAGUCGCGGUGUGGUUUGGGGGAGCGGUACACUGUGGCAAUAAUCGUGGGGAUGGGUCCGGAUAUUUGACAGGCAAGGCAUUCAAAGGAGGAAAGUGGCGGGAGAGAAACCGAAAGUACUUUCCACUUCUCGCGGUAUACUAUCGCGAGACCUCCUCUGCGACCAGAAUCGCGGGGCUUGGAAAUGUAAACAAAUCCCGGGGGAGUGGAAUCGUUCAACUGUGAGAAGUCCCCGGGAGUUUGCCAGGUUUCAUUCAAGCAGAGAAUGUCAAGCUUACGGUCCGUGAGGAUAUCUUGAAUGAGAUUACCCUUCCCAGUAAGCGAACGGAUGUUAAGUAGCCCGAAGUUGACGGCGGCAGUCUCGCCGCUGCGGGGGCCGUUAGCCGACCUAGCCAAGCCGGCUAACGCACGAUGAUCGAUGGAUCGGCCGGUGUUUCUGGAUGGCCGACGGGAGGAAGACCAGAAGGAGAUGAUGGUGUUGGAUCGGUUGAGGCAGAAGCCCCGACGAGACCCACAAUGAAUAUAUUUCCGGGAAGGAAAGCGAACGAUGUCCGGGAGCCGGUGUACAGCAGGAGGAGGGCCCAGCCAUUGGAAGCGGAGCCGAAGGAGCUCGGCCAACGAGUACUGGAGCAGAUCCUUGACAGGUCAAUGGAGGAGCGACAGGUUGACAGGUAGGACACUGAGACGCCGGGACGAAACAGUCGAAGAUAGUUGAGAGUGCGAGGCAGGCGUGAAUGGGGGCUGGGUGGAAUGACUGUGAGAUGAUGAUCGUGAUUCCAUGCGAAACAGUAAAACAAUCGAGCGUAAAAACACCGUAAAACCGUUGUGGGAGAGCAGCGGCAGCCAAAACGCGCCAGCGUUCACUCUACCCGGAAGUCCCAGAAUGCAACAGCACAGGUGUUGUGCUGUUGAUAUCCAUUUGAGUGAUGACACUAGUCAUGUUAUAAUCAUUAUUUCUCACAAUAAUUGCGAACCAGAACUUUUAAUGUCGACAUGCAACGCUUUAUUUCUGUCCAUAUCUUUCAGUGUUUACAUUUUCCAUAAUCAUGUCUCCAAAAACCAAAAAAAUAAUUUCAUAACACAGGUUUUUGUAUUGUAAAGUAGAAGAGCAUUCUUAUUAAUAUUAUUAAAGCCAUAUAGUAUCGGUACCCAUAAAUACAAAAGACAGUCGAACCUCGAGUUCUGAAUGAGCCUUUUGACGUACUUUUCAAUUUCUACUUACAUGCUGUAGUGUACAUUGCCGAUCAGAGUUGUCCUAUGAAUUUAGUAUAUAAAUUCCUCGUCUCACCCCUCGUGUGGUGUUCGUCCCACAUUCAACUUGAGUCCUCUACCAGAGGCCCGGAAGCUUGAGGGUUCUGCGCAGUAAUCUGCUGUUCCAAGCAUUGCACUUUUCUGGACUGAGAUGUCUGAUGUUGUUCCCAGGAUCUGUUGCAACCACUCAUCCAGUUUGGGGGUCACUGCCCCGAGUGUUCCGACCACCACAGGCACAACUGUCACCUUUACCUUCCAGGCUCUCUCCAGCUCCUCUCUGUGCCAUUGGUAUUCCUCCAGUUUCUCUUGUUCCUUUCUUUCUGAUUUUUCCAUCACUUGGGAUCGCUAGAUCCACUACAACUGCUUUCCUCUGCCCUUUAACAAUGAUCACGAUAUCUGGUUGGUUCGCCAUUACCAUCUUGUCAGUCUGGAUCUGGAAGUCCCCACAGGAUCUUCGUUCGGUCAUUCUCCACCACCUUUGGAGGUGUUUCCCAUUUUGACCUUGGGGUUUCCAGUCCAUACUCCGCAAAGAUGUUUCGGUAGACUAUGCCAGCCACCUGGUUUGGCGUUAAAUGUAAGGUUUCCCUGCCAGCAUCUUACACCCUGCAGCUGUGUGUUGGAUCAUCUCGGGUGCCUCUUUGUGCAACCUACACCUUGAUAUUGCAUGUAUAUACUAUAUAUAUAUAGAGAGAGAGAGAGAGAGAGAGAGAGAACUGUCAAACGAUAUUUAAUCUAAUUAAAAAUGCAACUGUCAUAAUUAACACAAAUUCACUAAAAAUUAAUCGUGAUUACUCACGCAUUUUUGAUCGUUUCUGAAUUUACUUUUCUUUUUUUUGUCCUAUUUUUCCCCAUUUUAACGCUCUCAUCAACAUGGAAUCAUGAAUCAGUUUUGCAAAUAUUGACUGAAACAACAAUUUCGAUUUUCAAUUUUCAUGCACCCCGCGACCCUAGUGAGGAUCAAGCGGCUCGGAAGAUGAAUGAAUGAAUGAAUGAAUUUUCAUGCACAUUUUUCACUUGGAGCAGUUAUUCACACAUAAUGGACAAUGUUACUGUCCAUCAACAACAGUGAAAAAAAUGUUUUGUCACACAACAGCUGCUUUAACAGCUCUUUUUAUGGAAUCAAAACAGAGCAAUAUAACAUUAUAAAGUGCACAUCUAAGGUAAAGGUUUCUCAAGUUUGCUUUGAACACAGCAGUCAGGCUAUGUUGAUUCGGUUGGUCCAUCUUGCGUAGAAGUAUCUCCACGUUUUUGUGUAGACAUCAUUUCGGAUGACUACACUUGGUUCAAUGACAACACUGCAGACAUUUUAUUUUCGCUAGGUUGCUACCACUGCACCGCUGAACUUCACCGUCACUGUCAGACGAACAUAGAAAAGCUCCACCCGCUCUAUUUAUAUGGACACGGAUCACUGUAAUCUUCCAUACAAAAUAGUUCCAAACAAGUAAUCACAUCAGUGGCAUACAUCAUACACUGCACCUGUAUGAUCCAGGUAACUUUGGUCUUGUCAGUGGAGCAAUCUUUUUAAAAGUAAACGUUCCAUUCAUAAACUCUUUAAGUAUUUGUUUUCGGUGUUUCGCGUGCUGUGGCUGGCAAAACAAACGUGUGUGGACGUAUGCAGCGCGCUUGUUGUUUUGUUUCUGGAUUAUUUAUAGAGCAACGUAGCAUCCGCUGUGACAUGUGACAUGUGCCGUGUUAAUCUCGCGAGAAAAAAAUUAAGCCCAUUAAAAUUCAUUUAAAUUUAUGUCAAUAAAAAAUGUGCUAAACUGACAGCUCUAAUAUAUUUAUAUAUAUCUAAAUACAGGACUGUACAUGUUGCUCGAUGUGACUAGCUGUUGUUUUGCAGCUUCUCGUGGACCGUUUGCUGCCUUUUUUUUCUUUUAACUUGUACAGUGAAACUCUUCUACAACGAAAUCAUGUUUGCAGCAAGCAAUUUUUCACAACAGGGGGGUUUUCACUGUAGCAAAUUUGAUCUCAGAUGUAAAUGUCAACUUUCAAGUGCUCAAGGACAUCUGCACGGUUGCACUCUUCUUGUACAACAAAUACUGCUCCUGGUCACUCUAAUAUGGUUCUAUGAUUUUCUGCACCAACUGUACAACUGUCAGAGUAUUGUAUACUACCACUCAUCACUUUAGUGCUUCUUGAUACUUUGCACAUUGUCUAACAGUUGUCACUGGUUGGUACCACCGCACUACGGUUCACUUGCAUAACGAAAUGUCCUUCCAUUCUUAUUUGUCAUGUCCUUGUUUGUGAUGUUACUAAUGCAGCGUGUGAUACCGGAGACAAAUUCCUUGUGUGUUCUACAUACUUGGCCAAUAAAGCUGAUUCCGAUUCUCUGAUUCUGAAACACACACAAACACAAACACACACACACAAACGUAUGUGUACAAGCACACACAAUCGUAUGUGUACUCUUUAUUUUUAUUUCACUCGUGCAUCCUUAUGAGCACACACUUAUUUGACACUUCAUAUUGUCAGUGUAGAAAGAAAAAAAGGGAAAGAAAUUGUGAAAUUUACAAUCAGCAUUCACAUUCACUUAAAUCAAUUUCUUGGUUCAAGUCUUUUAUUUUGCUUGCUCCGUCUUUCAUUUGGAUCACUUUUACCCUCUCUUCCAGCAUCAGAGCUUUUCCGUUUUGUCGCCAUUUUAGCAAUGUACGGUCCAUGCUCGUCUGAAUCUAACAAUAACAAAUACUUCCUGCACCCGGUGGCUUUUCAUUCCACCAUCUCACUGUCUCUAACUCGACCGACCCUCGAUCGCCACCCAAGACAGCGUUGCUCAGCUGAUGUCAUGCAAUGAACUUUUAAGCCAGCCACGGGACGCUUCGUAGUCCUCGAUGGCCAUAGUUAGCUCUUGAAGGCUAAAAACCUUACGCUAAAUGGAGCACUAAUGAGAGAGAAGCGCUCCAGUUAGCGUAAGGUUUUUAGCAUGAUAACGAGUAAAGCAUUUUCGUCGAAAAUGCUUUACUUGCUUUAUUGCUUUGCCAUGCUUUACUGCGUGGCAGGCUGAUUAAAAUACGAGGAAACGUUUGUUUCUUUGAAUGUCCGUCGAGCCAUAAGCAAUUUACUCUGAGCAGCUAAUCGGAUGCAUUCCACUCUGUCUUCUACGGAUCUAGCUUCAGUAUCUACACACAUAGACAGUGAGGUCCCUCUUGGCCAAUCGGAGACCAGGAUGAUGCUCGGUAAGCCAAUGUCAGAGCAGCUAUCAGUAAGUUGCAUUCAGUAAACUCACGGCUGUGACCGAAAUAAAGAACAUUGAAAUUGUUAUUAUGUAGUAAAUAUUAGCAUUUUGCACAUGGAAAACUGAUUCAUGAUUCCAUGUUGAUGAGAGCAUUAAAAUGGGGAAAAAUAGUACGAAAAAAUAUAAAAGCAAAUUCAGAAAGAAUAAAAAAUCUGUGAGUAAUCGCGAUUCAUUUUUAGGUAAUUUGAGUUAAUUAUGACAGUUGCAUUUUAACUAGAUUAAAUAUUUUAAUCGUUUGACAGCUCUAAUGGAAUUUCUCCAUUGUGAGACUAAUAAAGGUUUUCUUCUUCUUCUUCUUCUAAUAUACAUACAGGGUGACCCAAAAAAACGGACCCCAACUCUAAUUAGGCCCCAUUUCUUCGUUUUUUGUCCGAAUGAAAUGAAACGUUGGCCAUAACUAGUUUAUUAUAUUCAAAACAUCACAUCAAAACACUUGGGUCUUUGUUUUUUUUUUUUCUCCGUUGUACAGCAUAUGUUUUAGAUGACCUCCAUUUAGCUCCAUGCAUUUCUUGAGGCACAGCAAGAAGUUGUCCAUUACGUUCUUACAGACUGAAUUGGUAAUGGCUCUCAUCUCCUCCCUGAUGGCUUUCUUGAGUUCCGUGAUGGUUCCGGGUUUCCCUGCGUAGACUCUGUCCUUAAGAUAGCUCCAAAGAAAAAAAUCUGGGGGCUUAGGUCUGGGCUAUGGGGUGCCCACUCAAAAUCAGUCUUGAGACUGAUCACUCGGCCGCCGAAGUUCUCUUUCAGCCAAUCUUGGGACAGGUUUGAGGUGUGAGAACUUGCUCCGUCUUGCUGGAACCAGAACUUGCUCAUGAGCGACGGGUAGAUGGUCUGGAGCUCAUUCUUGAAGGUUUUGAGGACCUCCACAUACCACUCCUUGGUGACUGUCACUGCUGCGCCAGAUUCUUCAAUGAAGAUUGGUCCAAUGAUGCCUCUGGCCGAGAUUUCUGGUUCCAGCAAGACGGAGCAAGUUCUCACACACACGUUUUGAAUGUAAUCAACUAGUUAUGACCAAAGUUUCAUUUCAUUUGGACAAAACACUAAGAAACGGGGCCUAAUUAGAGUUGGGGCCCGUUUUUUGGGGGGGGGGGGGUGUCACCCUGUGCAUAUAUACAGUAUAUAUACUGUAUAUAUAUCUAUAUACAGUAUAUAUUCAUAUUCAUUCAUUCAUCUUCCGAGCCGCUUGAUCCUCACUAGGGUCGCGGGGGGUGCUGGAGCCUAUCCCAGCUGUCUUCGGGCAGUAGGCCAGCCAAAACACAGGGCACACGGAGACGAACAACCAUCCACGCUCACACUCAAACCUAGGGACAAUUUAGAGUGUUCAAUCAUAUACAGUAUAUUAUAUUACCCUAAGCCCCUCUUCCUCAACUGGCGGACCGCGAUCCACGACCGGACCGCCGACCUCCUCUGUCCGGACCUCCUCUGUCCGGACCCUCGUCAAAUUGUAUAAAAUAAUUUAUAAAUUGAUUUUUACGUUAUACAUUUCAUAUUUGUGGACUAUAAUCUGCGCAUUACCGCGAUCGCUUGUUAAAAUUACCCGUGGUAUUCUUUGCGUGCACUAACGGAUGUAAUGCAGAGGACCGCGGCAGCGCGACUUUGUGUGUAUAAUGUUUGACUCACUCGAGACCUUGCCUGAGCAGGGCAUGUCGGCGAUAACGAUGCACUGAUUGGCUCCUCUGAACUUAAGGUGUGUCCAUACAUAAGCGUCAGCACGCAUUCAAAAUGGAUGAUUGUGUCAGGAAACAGAAGUAUGCGCGACGCCACAGUGUGCUCACAGCUUCAGCCCAGGAGAGCCGCACACAGACAAUAAGACAAAACGAAUCGCGGGAGGUUUCGAUUGUGUGCAGUUCUGCUGCCGUCUACUUUGCAGCUGUUGAAUAGCAGAACACCGCAACAUGGUAAAUGAACAUCCCAAUGGCGUCCUCAAAUAAUAUUUGCAUGCCUCAGACAUUGCAUUCACCUAGAGUGGAAGAAAAGCACUGCACAUUCCUGUGCUCCCUUGUGUCAGUAUUUAAAAUGGUUCUUAACUCCUCUUCUGAUAUAUUUUUUAAGUGAUUUCAGAAGGGAUGUGAAAAGUGGAGUAGUACAAAUGAAAAGGAUAUUUUUGUUUUUAUGUUUAGUAUUUAUUUUGGUAAAAUUAGUAUUUUGUUUUGUUUUUGUUAAAUUAAUGGGAAAAUUACAACUACUGUUUAACAAAGUUAAAAUAAAAAUGUCUUAUUUCCCUAAAAGGGCUAUUUCUAUUAUUAAGCAGGCACAACUUAUCAAAAUAAAAGAGUUCCUGUGCCUCAACACAAUACCCCUCAUUAUUUGCUCUGUACUGGCAAAGUGAAUAAUUGUUAUUUUCAUGCACCCCAUUAUUGGUUGGUUGUGAGGAGUGUUGAUUUGUAUAAGCUUAGCUUGACCAUACUAAAUGGGCAUAUUGCCCUGCUCCCCAUGACCGCCGUGCAUGGGACCGGACCUGGGUCUAAUUAAAAAAAAAAGUGGACCGACAGCAUUUCUAGUUGAGGACCACUGCCCUAAGCCAAGUAAUCACCAAAACAGGCUAUGGAUACCGCAUCAGAAAUGGAGAUACAAUCAGUCACCUCCUCUACAUAGAUGACAUAAAGCUGUAUGCUAAGAGCGAAGGGAGAUAGACUCCCUGAUCCACACAACCAGGAUCUACAGCAGCGACAUCGUGAUGUCAUUCGGGCUUGAGAAAUGUAGUCGGAUGGUCACUAAGAGAGGAAAGGUAGUCCGCACUGAAGGGGUCUCACUCCCUGAAGGAACAAUAGCAGACAUUGAGGACAGCUACAAGUACCUUGGUAUACCACAGGCCAAUGGCAACCUCGAACUGGCAACAAGGAAAGCGGCUACGGCCAAAUACCUCCAGCGAGUGAGGCAAGUCCUAAGAAGCCAGCUCAAUGGCAAGAAUAGGACCCGGACAAUAAACAGCUAUGCCCUGCCAGUGAUCAGAUACCCUGCAGGAAUAAUAAGGUGGCCAAAGGAAGAGAUUCAGACCACGGACGUUAAGACCCGAAAGCUCCUAACCAUGCAUGGAGGGUUCCAUCCCAAAUCCAGCACCCUGAGACUGUACGCAAGCCGAAAGGAAGGAGGCCGGGGACUAGUGAGUGUGAGAGCCACUGUCCAGGAUGAAACAUCCAAGCUCCAUGAAUACAUCAAGGAGAAGGCUCCAAUGGAUGACGUACUCAGACAACGGGGAACAGAAGAUGAGGCGCUGGUAGAGGGACCAUCAUGGGAGGACAAGUCCCUACACGGGAUGUACCACCGGACCAUAACUGAAGUGGCUGAUCUCAAGAAGUCCUAUCAGUGGCUAGAGAGGGCUGGCCUGAAGGACAGCACAGAGGCACUCAUCCUGGCUGCUCAGGAACAGGCCUUGAGCACCAGAGCCAUCGAGGCCCAGAUAUACCACACCAGACAAGACCCAAGGUGUAGGUUGUGCAAAAAAGCACCUGAGACGAUCCAACACAUAACUGCAGGGUGUAAGAUGCUGGCAGGGAAAGCCUACAUGGAACGCCAUAACCAGGUGGCUGGCAUAGUCUACCGAAACAUCAGGAAGAAGGAACAUGAGAAACUCGAGAAAUACCAAGGGCUCAGAGAGGAGCUGGAGAGAGCCUGGAAGGUAAAGGUGACAGUCGUGCCUGUGGUGGUCGGAGCACUCGGGGCAGUGACCCCCAAACUAGAUGAGUGGUUGCAACAGAUCCCGGGAACAACAUUGGACAUCUCAGUCCAGAAAUGUGCAGUGCUGGGAACAGCAAGGAUACUGCGCAGAACCCUCAAGCUUCCUGGCCUCUGGUAGAGGAGCCGAGCUGAAUGAGGGACGGACACCACCCGAGGGGUGAGAUGAGGAUUUUUUAUAUAUAUAUAUAUAUAUAUAUAUAUAUAUAUAUAUAUAUAUAUAUUAGAGCUGUCAGUUUAGCGCGUUUUUAUUGGCAUUAAUUUAAAUGAAUUUUAAUGGGUUUACAUUUUUUUUUCGCAAGAUUAACGCGGCACACGUCACAAGCAGAUGUUAUGGUGCUCUAUAAAUACACCAGAAACAAAAUAAAUAGCGCGCUGCAGAAGUCCACGCCCAUGUCUGUUUUGCCAGCCAUGGCAGCGCGAGACACCGAAAACGGAUACUUAAAAAGUUUAUGAAUGGAGAGUUUUCUUUUAAAAAGUUGACAGAUUGCUCCACUGACAAGACCAAAGUUACCUGUUCUUCUCUCUCUGUGUAUAGGUAUACAGGUAUACGUUUUAUGCCACUGACGCGAUUGUUACUUGUUUGGAACUAUUUUGUGUGGAAGGGUACAGCGUUUCGUGUCCAUAUAAAUAGAGCGGGUGGAGCUUCUCUGUGUUCAUCUGACAGUGACAGUGCGGUGCUGUUGUAGCGACCUAGCGAGAAUUAAACGUCUCCAGUGUUGUCAUCGAACCAAGUGUAGUCAUCCGAAAUGAGGUAGACACAAAAACCGUAGAAAGACUUCCGCGCAAGAAGGACCAACAUAAUCAACAUAGCCUGACUGUGAUUAGGGAGUGAAACCCCCCUCUUUCAGAAUGGUUUCCCCCAGCAGCACGGGGGAAGUGCUUGCGCUUGUUUGUACGGCCGGCAGUUUUGAAUACAGCGACACAUAACGAACACUGGUGUCUGUGCUCCGUGAGUCGUCACCUUACCGUGGUGGAGGGGUUUGUGUGUCCCAAUGAUCCGAGGAGCUAAGUUGUCUUGGGCUUUAUGCCCCUGGCAGGGUCACCCAUGACAAACAGGUUCUAGGUGAGGGGCCAGACAAAGCACGGCUAAAAGACCCCUGAUGAAGAUUACAAUAAAUGGAUCUAAGUUUCCCUUGCCCGGACGCGGGUCACCGGGGCCCCCCUCUGGAGCCAGGCCUGGAGGUGGGGCUCGUUGGCAAGCGCCUGGUGGCCGGGCCUACACCCAUGGGGCCCGGCCGGGUACAGCCCGAAGAGGCAACGUGGGUCCCCCUUCCCAUGGGCUCACCACCCAUGAGAGGGGCCAAAGGGGUCUGGUGCAAUGUGAGCUGGGUGGCAGCCAAAGGCGGGGACCCUGGCGGUCCGAUCCUCGGCUGCAGAAGCUAGCUCUUGGGACAUGGAAUGUCACCUCUCUGGCAGGGGAGGAGCCCGAGCUGGUGUGUGAGGCAGAGAAUUUCUAACUGGAUAUAGUCGGACUUGCCUCCACACACAGCCUGGGUUCUGGUACCAGUUCUCUCGAGGGGUUGGACUCUCUUCCACUCUGGAGUUGCUCACGGUGGAAGGCGCAGAGCAGGUGUGGGCAUACUCAUUGCCACGCGGCUGUACAUUGGGGUUCACACCGGUAGACGAGAGGGUUGCCUCCCUUUGGGUGGGUGGAGGGGUCCUUACUGUUGUUUGUGCAUAUGCACUAAACAGCAGCUCAGCAUACCCACCCUUUUUGGAGUCCAUGGAAGGUGUGCUGGAGAGUACUCCUGCUGGGGACUCCCUUGUUCUGCUGGGGGACUUCAAUGCUCACGUGGGCAAUGACAGUGAGACCUGAAGGGGUGUGAUUGGGAAGAACGGAAUGUUCUGGACACUCGGGUGAAGAGAGGGGCGGAGCUGUCAACUGAUCAUCACCUGGUAGUGAGUUGGCUCCGAUGGUGGGGAAGAUGCCGGUCCGUCCUGGCAGACCCAAACGUAUUGUGAGGGUUUGUUGGGAGCGUCUGGCGAAAUCCCCUGUCAGAAGGAGUUUCAACUCCCACCUCCAACAGAGCUUUUCCCAUGUUCCGGGGGAGGCAGUGGGACAUUGAGCCCAAGUGGACCAUGGUCCGUGCCUAUAUUGUUGAGGCGGCCAAUCUGAGUUGUGGCCGUAAGGUGGUUGGUGCCUGUCGUGGCGGAAACCCCCGUACUCGCUGGUGGACACCAGCAGUAAGGGAUGCCGUCAAGCUGAAGAAGGAGUCCUAUCGAGCUUUUAUGGCCUGUGGGACCCCAGAGGCAGCUGACGGGUAUCGACUGGCCAAGUGGAACGCAGCUUCGGUUGUCGCCGAGGCAAAAACCCGAGCGUGGGAAGAGUUCGGUGAGGCCAUGGAACCCGACUUCCGGACGGCUUCGAGGAAAUUCUGAUCCGACGUCUCAGGAGGGGGAAGCAGUGCACCAUUAACACUGUGUACAGUGGGAUGGGGCGCUGCUGACUUCGACUUGGGACUUUGUGAACCGUUUGGCAGAGUACUUCGAAGACCUCCUCAACUCCACCAACACGCCUUCCUUGGAGGAAGCAGAGCCUGGGGACUCUGAGGUGGCCUCUCCUAUCUCUGUGGUUGAAGUCACUGAUGUGGUUAAAAAGCUACUCGGUGGCAAGGCCCCAGGGGUGGAUGAGAUCCGCCCGGAGUUCGUCAAGGCUCUGGAUGUUGUGGGGCUGUCCUGGUUGACACCCCUCUGCAACAUCGCGUGGUCAACGGGGAGAGUGCCUCUGGAUUGGCAGACCGGGGUGGUAGUCCCUCUUUUUAAAAAGGGGGACCGGAAGGUGUGUUCCAACUACAGAGGGAUCACACUCCUCAGCCUCCCUGGUAAGCUAUUCAGCGGUGCUGGAGAGGAGGGUCCGUCAGGAAGUCGAGCCUCAGAUUGAGGAGGAGUAGUGUGGUUUUCGUCCCGGCCGUGGAACAGUAGACCAGCUCUACACCCUUAGCAGGGUCCUCGAGGGUAUGUGGGAAUUCGCCCAACCAGUCUACAUGUGUUUUGUGGACUUGGAGAAGGCGUUUGAUCGUGUCCCUCGGGGAGUUCUGUGGGGGGUGCUUCGUGGGUAUGGGGUACCGAACCCCCUGAUACGGGCUGUUCCGUCACUAUACCACCGAUGUCAGAGUUUGGUUCGCAUUGCCGGCAGUAAGUCGGAAUCGUUUCCUGGGGAUAGUACUCCGCCAAGGCUGCCCUUUGUCGCCGAUUCUGUUCAUAACCUUUAUGGACAGAAUUUCUAGGCGCAGUCGAAGCGUUGAGUGGGUCCGUUUUGGGGGCCUCAGUAUUGCAUCCCUGCUUUUUGCAGAUGAUGUGGUGCUGUUGGCUCCUUCAAACGGGGCUCUCCAACUCUCACUGGAGCGAGUGUGAAGCGGUUGGGAUGAAAAUCAGAACCUCCAAAUCUGAAACCAUGGUCCUCUGUCGGAAAAGGGUGGAGUGCCCCCUCCGGGUCGGGGAGGAGAUCUUGCCCCAAUAGCUAGGGAGAGGGAAGUCUGGGCUUCCCUGCUAAAGCUAUUGCCCCCGCGACCCGGCCCCGGAUAAGCGGUAGAUGAUGGAUGGAUGGAUGGAUGGAUGGUAGAGCACG